rnacentral:rRNA from 1 species
CUCAGGAUAAACGCUGGCGGCGUGCCUAACACAUGCAAGUCGAACGGAUCCCGCAAGGGAGAGUGGCGGAAGGGUGAGUAACACGUGGGAAUCUACCUCCUCGCAGGGAACAAACCUCUCGAAAGAGAGGCUAAUACCCAAAAGGGUCAGAAAUGAUCAGAGUCGAAAGGCGUGAGGAGAGGAGCCCGCGGCCCAUCAGCUAGUUGGUGAGGUAAUGGCUUACCAAGGCUACGACGGGUAGGGGGAUCUGAGAGGAUGUCCCCCACACUGGAACUGAAACACGGUCCAGACGCCUACGGGUGGCAGCAGUGAGGAAUAUUGGACAAUGGGCGAAAGCCCGAUCCAGCAACGCCGCGUGGAGGAUGAAGGCCUUCGGGUCGUAAACUUCUUUAGAGGGAGACGAGAAAGGACGGUAUCCCUAGAAUAAGCGACGGCAAACUACGUG